rnacentral:lncRNA from 1 species
UCGUUUCGUAAUAAAAUCAACUUUAAAACUUUUCAGUCGUAUUAGCAAUGUACAUACAUCUCUUUACAUGCAAUAAUCACAACAUACUUACCGUUUCUUUACUCAUAAUAACAAUGUACAAAUGCCAUUAUACUUUCAUUUCAAAAUGUAAAAAAAAAAAAAAAAAGUAAAAUGCCUAUAUUGGAAAGGAGAUGCUUCAAGCCAAUGACUUUAUCAGCUUUCCAUAUUUUACCAACUGCUCCAAAUGAGUUUGCAAUUAUUUCACCAUCUUCUUGUGUUGCACCUGCUCCCAUGCUCGUAACUAAUGUCAUACAAAGUAUAAACACAAGUGUGUUGCUAUUUGAGAGGACAAAAUUGUGAAUCUAAUUUUAUAUUGAUCUUCAGGUUUAUUUCAUUUUCUGUUUUUUAUUGCGUUUAGUAAAUCUGUCCUUGCUUAGGGUUUCUUAAAAAAAAUAAAGAUAAAAUAAGAAAGUACUAAUCCUUACUUACCCUCUCGAUAAAAAUAUAUGUGAGUGUCCCAUCUGCAUAUUCUCGAAGCUCUUGCUUGCUAAGUGCUCCGUUCAUAUCUUUAUCAAGUGCAAGGAACAUAUAUGUAGUGUAGUAAACCAUCAAUCAUGUAAAAAAUGUAAUAGAUGGAUCAGAGGCUGCUUUUAAUCCAAUCACAGUGAACUCUAUGACAAAAAUCCUUUCCAGAUUUUGUAGGGAAUGAAAACUUAAAAUAAAAUCUGAUCAGAUUGAUGGUAUAGCUAAAGCAAGUGGAAAAAUCGGAUUCGAGUGUGGUUCCUUUAAGGUCAUUCCCUGCAUAUUUUGAGUAAAGAACGGUGUUUCCUUCAUCAUCUAAAAGACCAGGUCCUACUGCAAUCAAGGUUACAUUAAGCUCAUUAGACGCUAAAGAAAAGAAUUAAUUAAUUUUUAAGAUUUGAGUAAAUGUGACAGGUGUCACACACUAUGCCAAUAGAGGGUUUUUGUUUGCUUGCUUGUGUAAGCAAUAAGCCGACAACUGUCGUUUCCUCGGAUUCCUCGCCCUUUUAUACAAAGUAGAAGAUCAAAUUAAGAGGAAUUUAUGGUCAUAUUUAUGGAUACCUACCCAAAAUACCCCUUAAGAGUUCUAUGAAUUAAGAGUAUAAGGGUUACUAACCUUGAUAGGGACUCUGCCAUCAAGAGAUUUCGAAUCCGUAACAUCUUCUAUUUCAACAAUACCAAUGAUGUCAUCUUCUUUCGGUAUGAGAUGGUUUGACCCAUUAAACUCAACUUCAGUCCCUGCAUACUUGGAGUAUACAACUGGGUACCAGUCUUCAAAAUAAUUAUACAAAGUCAUUUAAAACUAUCACACUGAAAGAAUCCAUCACAUACAUUUAAAUCUCGAGCUCCUUUAACAUUAACAAAAUACUUUAUUACGUUGACACCAAUUUACACCUUGUUUUACCUAAUUGUCAUGUCUUCUUCAACUGCAACAACAUCACCACCUUAAGGCUUUGUUUUGCCUAAAUAUAUCAAAUUAUAUAAAAAAUAAUAACAACUUCUUUUUCAGCUAAAGAAAAUAAUAAUAUAGGUAGAAUGUUGUAAUCAAUAUAUUUUUAGUUGUUCAAUACCCAACCUGUUUAUUUUUUAUGACACUACCCCUCAAACUUUUGACGAUGUAUUAUAAAUAUUAAUUAGCAUGUAUAUUGUAAUUAACAUAUAUGAUUAAAAACACAAAAAAAAAAAAAGUAACAAAUACAACAAAUGUAAAUAAAUCAGUAAAACUGAUAAUUAAUUUAACAAUAAAAUACAAACAUAUCACAAAAAUCUAUUAUUCUCUCAUUAGAUUAAUAAUUUAAACUAACAAUGGUAAAUUACAAAUUUAUUAUGUAAAAAAAAUGAAAAUAAUAAAACCAACAUUUGAUUUCUAUUAAAAGGAAACUAAUUUUAGAACCAAUAGCUUUUAUUUUCUAUAUUACCAAAGGCAGAAAGCAAAUUCCUCACUUCUUUUUAUUCCGACCAUAAUCAAAUUUUUUUGUUUGCUUGUGUAGAACAUAGUCAAUAUUGUUAAUGCAUCUCUCGUAGUCAAUAAUGUUAAUAUAUAUUUGUGAAUCAUAAAUAAAAACACAGCAUAAAAUUAUAAAAACAGAUCGAUAAUCUACAAUAACCAUGGGGCAAAGAAAUUCAUGCAAAAGAUAUGAAAGCUUUAAUUUUAUAAAACAAAUCAUAAAAUCCUCCACCAUAAUGCAAAUGAAGCAAAAGUUAAAAAAUUGUUACGAAAAGCAUAUUUAGAGAAAAUAAUGCUAACCAUUUGGUGCUUAAAUGAAAUACAACUUCUGUGGCUAAGAGGAGUAAUGAAAGUGGCCAUCGACAUAAACUCCACGUAUGAUUUCUUCAUAGAACAUAUCCAAUCCUUCUAAGGUAAACUUCAAAGAAAAUUGAAAAAGAGUUAUUAUAUAUAAGAGGAGUAAUGAAACCUAAAUUUAACAUGUGAAUCAUUUUAUUGGUCAUUUCCAUAUUUAAGAAACUAAAAAUAUUGUAUAAUUUAUAUAAUGAUCAAAUGAAACAUAUAGAAAACACAUACACAUACACACACAUAGGUCAUUGUAGAAUGUUUGUUAAUAAACUAAGCAAUAGAAAAUAUUUCCAGUUUCAGAGUAUAGAAAACAAAUAGUAAUUAAAUAUCACCCACCUAAGCAGAUUUUUAAGCUAACAAAGUGUUUGUAGCAAUUCUUUUCUUAUUAGCACAUGUCAUAAAUUCAUCCAACUACAGACUCACCUAUAUACACUGAUCGGGCGUUAAUAUGAAAAUAAAACAUAAAAAUUUUCAAUGAGAAAAGGACUUAUACCUCAGCAAGAUUCUCCAAUUUCUAGAAAGAGAGGGGCAGAAAGUAAAAUUAGCUGGGAGUUUUAAUGCCCACAAUGAAUAUGUCCUUCAUUUGUUAAUAACUGCAAAACAAAGUGUUAUUGGAUCUCAAAACUCCAAAUGGUGAUCCUGUUAAGCAUAACCGAAGUGAACUGAUGAUCAAGCGAAUAUAAUCCAGUAAUAUAACGUAAAGUUGAAUGAAUACCUUAGUUGGUUCGGGCAUUUCACCGAACGCCUUAUAGGCAAUCGCAUCCAAAAGCAAUAAAGUCGUUGAUCCUUUACACGUUAGUCGUUCCCUAGCCUGAAUUAGCUCCAUUAUCACAUCAUGGAUCCGAAAAUCAUAAAAUUGGUCAUAAAAAACCACAGGCUGCAAUAUAAAUAUAAAUUGAUUAAAUGUAACAGAAAAGAUUUUUUUGUCACAAAAUAAUAAAUAAUAUUCAGAUGGAACUUAUGGUCCUUGGAUGGGUUAAGAUGUAAGCAUAUCGUUGCAUAAGUUUAUCUCAUGGAAAUGGCCAAUGUCCCUGUAUAUGUAUGUGACAAAUUAAUAAAUACCUAUGAGACCAAAAAUUUGAUAUAAUGUGAUAUGUGACUGAGAAAUAAAGGAGGAGGAGUUGUGACCUGUGUUUAGUCGGUAAAGCAACAGCACGUGAGGACCACCACCCCAUGACUCAUGGUGGCUUUCCAGCAGGAUCUAUUAAUGUCCAAUAUUUAUUAUGCAAUGCCGAAUGAAGUAUUCUCUGCAUGGAGCCCACUACAAUUACUAAUCUAUUGGUUCCUUCAAAAUUAUAUGUAUAAUGUAUGUAGAAAUCAAACACAGAAUGGAAUGUGAUUCCUUCUUAUAGUCUGGUUUUUUUAUUUUAUUCCUUGCUGGAAUGGAACUAUAAAUGAGCUUUAUUUAUACUACCCUCAAUACAAAUAAUAUUCUUAAAAAAUUUCAAACUUCAGUUAAAUUAUUUGUUGUUAGUUUCCAAAAAUAACUAAAAUACUCUUUCAUUAUUUUGUAUUUCCUUUUGCAACUAAUCUUUUCCACAUCCAUUGACUUACAUUUCUGAUUGUUUAUUCUAUUAUCGAACUGACAAAAUUUAGAGCGUACAACUCAACUUGCGGCAUAAUUUCCACUUUUUACAACUUUUAUCAAAGACAUUUCACUCAAUUUCAUAUAACAGAUUGGUUAGGGUUUACGAAAAUACCAUUAAAAUUCUGUUGAUGGAAAGUUUUGCAUUGGAUCCAAGAUACGGUACCUCUGAAUCAGCAAAUAACCAAGACCAGAUACCAGGAGAAGCAAAAGAUCGAAUUCCUUACCUUGUAGUGAGUCCGGCGGUAGCGAUGGUCUUCAUCAAGCCCAAAUUGCAGGUCCAGAUGAGGCGGCUAAUGGUGGUGGUGAUCGAGGUUAAAAAAAUACGAUGGCGGUGGCGUUGGCCUCUGUCAACGUUUUCUCGGGCUGCUUCUUCACCUGUGGCAACUCUAUCCGUCAUCGGAAUGUUGGAGUGAACUGCUUCUGUGACCUCCUUCUAUUUAUGAGAAUAAUCAGAAAGGAAGAGGCAAUAUCCCCAAAACACAACCGAAGGCAUAAAAGGAACAAAAGCCCUAGAAACUACUGAGGUCUUUAGGCAGUGAAGUCUAAAGCGAGGAUGUCAGUAGUGAUUCUUGGAAGAAGGG